UACGUAGGGUCCGAGCGUUGUCCGGAAUUACUGGGCGUAAAGAGCUCGUAGGUGGUUUGUCGCGUUGUUCGUGAAAACUCACAGCUCAACUGUGGGCGUGCGGGCGAUACGGGCAGACUUGAGUACUGCAGGGGAGACUGGAAUUCCUGGUGUAGCGGUGGAAUGCGCAGAUAUCAGGAGGAACACCGGUGGCGAAGGCGGUUCUCUGGGCCUUACCUGACGCUGAGGAGCGAAAGCGUGGGGAGCAAACAGG
rnacentral:rRNA from 1 species